rnacentral:lncRNA from 1 species
AGGCCCCCGGGGCCGGCGCCGCGGCCAACCCCCGGUUCGCCCUCGCGCCCGACGACGACGACGGCCCCGAGAACCCCCUCGUCGCGUUCGUCCACCCGCGCAGCGGCGACCGCCCCGGCCCCGUCCUCAAGUCCCGCCCGCAGGAGCUCACCGGCGAAGACCAGGUCAAACCAUCUCUCUCCCCCUCUCAUAUUUCGUAUUGCGUGGCGCUGCCUGCGAGUGAGCCAUUUUAGAGGAAAACAUGCCACCACUACGUGAUGAGAUGGUGGCCGUCCGGCGGUACGCGGAGCUGCUGUCGCGGUGCCGCGGCGGCGCGGACGCGCGGCCGAUCGCGCGGAUCCAGGCGGCCCUGGUCACGUCGGGCCUGCUCCGGCGCAGCGCGGAGCUCCACGACGCGCUCAUCCGGGCGCUCGCCAGCUCCGGGAGGCCGCAGGCGGCGCUCCCGCUCUACGCCCACCUCCUCCGCGCGGGCCUCCUCCCCACCCCGCACACCCUCCCCUCGCUCCUCAAGUCGCUCGCCCUCUCCCCCGCCGUCCCGGGCGCGCGCCGCCUCGCGCUCGCCGUCCACGCCCACGCCGUCAGGCUCGGCCUCACGGGUUUCCUCCUCGUGAACAACGCGCUCAUCCGCGUCCACGCGGGCCUGCUCGGCCGCCUGCCCGACGCGCACCUGCUGCUGCGCGCCUCGGCCGCCGUCGACGCCUCCACGUUCAACACGCUCAUCACCGCGCACGCGAGGGCUGGGCGAGUCGCCGACGCCCGCUCCCUGUUCGACGAAAUGCCUGAGAGGAAUGUUGUGUCCUGGAGCGCCAUGGUGAAUGGGUACGUGCAGGCCGGGGACGUGAGGGAGGCGCUGGGGGUGUUCUCUCAGAUGCAGGCCCAAGGUGUCCGCCCGGACGACACGGUUCUCGUCGGGGUGCUUGCCGCGUGCGCGCAGCUGGGGGCUCUGGAACAGGGGAAGUGGGUGCAUGGUUACCUCAAAGCAAACAAUAUCAGGAUCACCGUGUUCCUGGGCACUGCGUUGGUUGAUAUGUAUGCCAAAUGUGGUGAGGUGCAGCUUGGAAUGGAGGUGUUUGAGGGAAUGAAGGACAAGAAUGUGCUGGCCUGGACUACUAUGAUAAAGGGCCUGGCUAUGCACGGCCGCGGCGCAGACUCAUUGACACUCUUCUCCCAGAUGGAGAGCUCAGGUGUGAAGCCGGAUGACAUUGCCUUCAUUGGUGCUCUCUGUGCUUGCACACACACUGGGUUGGUUGACAAGGGUCGGGAGCUUUUCAACUCCAUGGUGAGCAACUAUGGUAUUAAACCAAAGAUUGAGCAUUAUGGAUGCAUGGUAGACCUCCUGGCACGGAAUGGCUUGCUGAGUGAGGCCAGAGACAUGGUUGAGAAAAUGCCCAUGAAACCAGAUGCCUUAAUCUGGGGAGCUCUAAUGGCUGGUUGUAGGUUCCACAAGAAUGUGGAGUUGGCUGAGUAUGCUAUAAAGCACUGGAUCGAAUUGGAGCCAGACAAAAGUGGUGCUUAUGUACUUUUAGGUAACAUAUAUUCUGCCUCUGGUAGGCAUGCUUCUGCGAGGGAAAUUCGGGACCUAAUGCGUGAGAAGGGAGUUGAGAAGACACCUGGAUGUAGCAAUGUGGAGAUUAAAGGAGUUAUCCACCAGUUCAUUGUUGGAGAUCUGUCUCAUCCUCGCAUAAAAGAUAUUUUGACAAAGUGGUAUGAGAUAGAUAGUAGGAUAAGGCUAGAGGAAGGUUACGUGCCUGAUAAGAAAGAAGUUUUGCUUGACAUUGAAGAAGAAGAGAUGGAAGGUGCACUCAGCCGCCACAGUGAGAAGCUGGCAAUCGCAUUUGCUUUGAUAAGUACAAAUGAUAAUAUACCCAUUCGGAUUGUCAAGAACCUCAGAGUCUGCCAAGAUUGCCAUCAUGUCACCAAACUUAUAUCCAAAGUAUAUGGGAGAGAAAUUGUUGUUAGAGAUCGAACACGUUUCCAUUUGUUCAAAGAUGGCACCUGUUCGUGCAAGGACUAUUGGUAGUAACUAACAAAUUUGUCAAUUAACAGUGGUACUUGGUCUCAAUAUAGAGCAUGGGCUGUUGAUCACAAAAAAAAUCUUUUUCAUGAUACAUCAGUGAUGCAUGAGUCGAGGCGAUAAAGUUGGUGAAGAAAAAAAAUCUUGCUAAUUACAAUGUACAUAUAUGGUAUUAGAGAAAUUAUUGUUAGAGAUUGAACACGUUUCCAUUUGUUUAAAAAUGGCACCUGUUCGUGCAAGGAUUAUUGGUAGUAACUGACAGAUUUAUGUAUUAACACCGGUACCUGUCUCAUUAUAGAGCAUGGGCUGUUGAGCACCAAAAUCGAACUCUUUCAUCAUACUCCCAAAAUAUAGCGUGUAUUAGUGAUGCAUGAGUUGAGGGGAUAAAGUUGGUGAAGAAAAUGAAUUCUUACUAAUUAUAAUGUACACAUGCAAUCAUGCCGUUAUUAAGGGUGCGUUUGGUUGUAUUGCCCAGCUUGCCCACUAGCUGAGCUAGCCUAGCUAGCUUAGCUCGGAUGGGCUACCUUUGCCUUAGCUGCACGUUUGGUUCAAUGCCGUUGCUGGCAAGGGCCAGCAGCUAGUCGUUUGGUUGUGCUGCGGGCAAAGUAGCUCAUCUUCACAGUAUCCAAAUCACUGAUUACGAGUUGAAGGACUAGUCGAGACUAGUCGAUGGACUAGUCUAUGAGUCGCACCUGUGGUGUCGACUGCAAAUCUCAUGCAGACUAAUUCGAUGAGUCGAGCGGUCGAGAGACUAGUCUGGACUAGUCGUGUACAUUAAGUCGAAUGACUCAAACUUUUCUUUAGAGGUGAGUGACUUAAAAUUGGAGGGGAUAACAGAGGCGCUUGGUCUGCGAGCCUGUCGGAGGGAAAUUUUGUGGCUAGGUUUCAGUUUCGCUCCAGAGAGAACUGCCCACUCCUCUGGAGCUCUCCCUCUUCACUGGUUCUGCUGUCCAGAUCCAGCCCUAUCUCUGCUGGUUCCUGGACUGGUUCAUCUGCUCCUGGAUCCUCGCUUUGCAAGUAAUUUCUCCCUUCUCUUAUCAUCAUAUAUGGUUCCUCUAUUGCUUGUUCCUGGGCUGGUUCCUCUACUGUUGGUUCCUGGUUUAAGUUUGCUUGUUUCCAUUCAACAUCCUUAGGUUUGAGCAGAGCUAGAGUUACAAUGUCUACAACACCAGAGAUAUCUCAGACAGCAUGCUCAGCAGCCACUUCAGCUCAAGCCGCUGAGGAUUAUGAUCCAUCAAAGGAUCCUGCGAGGAAGCCAACUAGGACCAAGGAUCCAACAUGGAAGUAUGCCUUUUGGCCUGAUCUGCAGGACAAAUUGUCAAUCCAGUGUGUUUUGCGUGGCAAAAACGUCUCUUCUGGUUACACAGUGGUGUUAAUGUGUCUGAAAGCAAUCCAGUGAGUUUUAUGGAGCAUGUGUUCGGCGCACCCUGACUCGACAUCGACCACGGCAUUCUUCGCACGGCUACCUCGACCACGGCUCCACCACCCACGCUCUUGGCUACAUCGACAAACGGCACAAAGGGCUACCGCCUGCUUGAGCAACCUCGUUGGUUUCCACUCCAGCCACGACUCCGCUAUGCGUCGACCGUUACGACUGUGGGGGGGUGUCCGUCGGCUUGCCUUCGCAUUCUUCUCCAGUCUCACCGUCUGCGUCGCUACCGUUGUGACUGCGGGGGGAUGUUGAGUAACGUGAUUGUAUUAGGAAACAUAGGUUAGACUAGGAAAUAUCCUGGCUUGCCUUGUACUCCGAGUAGAUCAUGUACUCCUAUAUAUAUGCCCAUGAGGCUCAAGCAAUACAUAAAACAAUUCCACCAAUCCCCCUCUAUCCCUUCUAACACAGUGAAGGCAUUAUGUGACAUGUUUAGGCCAUGUAGAGCAAUAAGAUUCCCAACUGAGUCUGGGAUGGGACCAUCAAAUGCGUUGUUUGAGAAAUCAAGCAUCUUGAAAGUGGUCAGGAUCUUGGUAAAUGUAAGAUCAAUCCCUUUGAAUGUGAGUCUCUCUUGGUAGUACUCCCCAGGAAAUCUUGAAUCAAAGGCCAGAGCGUUACCCUUGUCACUAGAGUUUUCUGUCAUUCUUUGUAGCAUGUCAAACCAUUUUGAACUCAAGCUCCCAGAAAAGUUAUUUGAGGCCAAAUCAAUAAUCUGCAAAGCCGAGAAGUCCUUACUACUCGCAUCACUUUCAGCAAGGCCUCCUAUUGAACCAUAUAAUUGAUUUGAUCUCAAGAAGAGAAUUCGUAGAUUAGACAUCUCACCCAACCAAGAUGGAAAAGUAUCAAGAAUUUGAUUGCUACCAAUGUCAAGGACCUCUAAGUUUCUGCAGUUACAUAAUGAUCUUGGUAUCUUCCCUUCAAUUUGGUUGUUGUUCAAAUCAAUUGUCUGAAGCAUACAUCCAUCUCCAAUAUUUUCAGGUAGUAUCCCAUGCAAAUGAUUAUCUCUCAAUUUCAACAUACCUAAACUGCUACCUUCUAUUAGACACGCUGGCAUCAUGCCGCUAAAGUUGUUGUAUGAUAAGUCCAGGAUCUUAAGUUGCUUUUGGGUACAAAUAGACCCUGGAAUGUUACCAUAUAAUUUAUUCCUAGACAAAUCAAGAUGGAUGGUAUUGUUGGGAAGGUACCUACCAAAGUCAGGUAUAAUAGAAGAGAAGCUGUUGUCUGACCAAUCUAACAAAGCACUAGACGACGUAGUUGUAACUGGUAUAGGUACGGUGCCAUGCAGCUUGUUGGAACUAAGAUCAAGCAUUUUUAAAUUGUCCAUUUGAACAAGAGAUGGAGAGUUUUCCAAGCUAGUGAACAUGUUGUUUGAGAGAUUUAGUUCGAACAUACUUUCCUUCCAGUUCACCCAUAUCCAGCUUGGUAUGACUCCAUGUAUUUUGUUAUUUGAAAGGUCCAAGUAAGACAACUGAUUUGUAUACCUCAAUGUGCCUGGAAUUAUUGUAAGGUUGCAAUAUGCUAAUCCUAGAUAUCUGAUGUGAGGGAGGUAAGGCAAUGGAUAACCAUCUUCAACAUCUAUGACUGAUAGAAUAUUAUCGGAGAGCAUCAAAAAAUCUAGUGCAUUCAGCUUCCAAAUAAUGCCAAGUUCUACUGUGCCUUCAAAGUAAUUCGAGUCCAGCAAGAGAACUUGAAGUCUUGUAAGAUCGAAGAAAGAUUUGGGUAUAUGACCUGCAAAGUUGUUAUCUCUUAGCUCGAUGGAGUACAGUAAGGAAGAUAUUGGGUUUGGAAUGUCUUCUAAACUUCCACAAAGUUCAUUUGAUGAUAGUAGUAGUUCUUGCAACGACGGAAGAGUGAACAAAGCCUUUGGGACAUUUCCUGCAUGCAGAUAGAGAACAGUAAUCAAAGAGCAGCAAAUACUUCCCAAAAUAACGUAAUAAUGAUGUGAUGUGCCAAGGGAAGAGAGGGGGGGUCUUACCACUCAACCGAUUGUAUGAUAAGUUCAAAUCUGAAAGCUUGGCCAAGUUCCCAAUCCACGUGGGUAUUGCCCCAGAUAAACUGCACUGUCUGAGCCAUAAGCUCAUCAAGUUUGUACAAUUUCUGAUCCACCAAGGAAUUGGACCAGAGAAAUUAUAGUCAUGCAGCGACAAGUAAAUCAGAUUCUCAAAUCUUCCAACCCAAGAGAGCAUUGGCUUCUCUAUUCCUGAUCCAGAGAGCCACAAUCCAUUUAGGGACGUAAGGUUAGCUAUGGAGGUAAUGGGCUGCUUGUGAGAUCCUAUGUUGCUAAGGCCCAAGAAUUUCAAGGAGUUGAGAUGGACAAAAGAAUCUGGUAUGCCACCAAAAAUGUUUGUCUCCAGUAGAUUUAGUGAUUGCAAACCAUUUCUUGGUGGGAAAUCUGGUAGUUGCACAUAAAGGCUGGGGUUAUAGGACAGGUCAAGAUGUUUCAGAUAUUUUAGCAGGAAGAUAUUUGUGGGAAAUUGCCCUUCAAAAUCAUUAGCCCGGAGGGUAAGGUCUCUUAAGAAAGGGAAUUCUGCAAAGAACCCAGGAACCUUGCCAGAAAUUCCAUUUAGCCCAAGGUCCAUCGUUGCUAGAAACCGGAGUUGGGAAAAUUGAAGGAUGAAUAGAACCAUCCAAUGCUAAAGCAAUGAACCAAGAUUCUGUAGUAGAGGAACAGAGUCUGCUAAAGCAAUGGACCAAGUUGAUCCACCGUUUACGAUUUGCACAUUAUCAAGAUAGAGAUUUCUUAGAUUGCAAAAAUUUGAUACGAAUGUCUGAAAACUUGGAUCUCGGAGAUAUAGAUCAUUGUGUGCAUAACCAGGCCAGUCAAUAUGAGAGUAAAGAUCAAGUGUACGCAAAAUUUGGAGGUGACCAAUUCCAAUGGGUAUCUGACCAAACAACCUCGUAUUAGAAAAAUUGAGACUGAGGAGCUCGGUCAGCCGCUCAAACCCAAAACUAGGAAGACUGGUCAGGCCAAAGUCAUUACCAGAGAGGCUGAGAUUUGUGAGAGAGGUGAGGUUGAAUAGUGCUAGGCUGAGACCACUGGUGCUCCGCAGGUUACGAUUACUGAGGUCCAAAGUGAUCACCUGACCUGGCCCUAUCACACCCGAUGCCCUCCCAGUGGCAACAGUCUGAGCCAUGUUGCCAUGAUGAAAGGUUGGGGUUGUGGAAGGAGUGCUUCAGCUGGAGUAGAGAUGAAGCCUGAUUAGGGAGGCACUGGACUGUGGUUCCAUUGGUGCCAUUGGCAGCAAUGUUGGUGGAGCAGUAGCAUGCAAGGAGUAGCAGGGUGUAGUGAAGCCGUGGGCGCCUGGAGCUCAUCUUUCUACUGCUUAUCUGAUUAUAACUUCAAGCUGGUGCUUGGGGCAAUAUAUAAUAGUACAGGGUAGAUGUAGAAAUCCCAAUAGUACAUUUCGCUCGUUUAUGUUGUGCAGUGUCAUUAUGUGGCCAAUGUUAUUUCCUGUGCAACACCGCAACGCCUUUGAUGUGCACACGACUGGUUGCUCGCUAAUUCAAAGUUCAAAGAACAAAUUGCUACCUCUCAUGAGACAAGGUCCAGUUCCCCGUAGGCCCGUUGCAAGCUACGGUACUUAAUGUAGUCAGUGUACUGCAGGUGCUGUAGCGUGUCUCCUGUGGCAAGAAUUUACAACAGGAUAGCUACAUAUUGCUUAUUUCAUAAGGAAGCUCUCCUCAAGAGCUGGAGUUGAUUAUAUUACCUGAAAUAUAGUCUGAGUUUUACGGGGUAUAUAAGUUGAGCCAACAUUAGAAAAGGUUACUGAUGUUUCUGUUUUACUUCAGAGAAAUACCUUGGGAAUGUACAUGUUCUGAAAAAUGGCAGGUUUACUCUUUGUUCUAUAAGAUAAGGGCUGGAGUUGAUUAGAUUACUGGAUAUGGAGUCUGUGUUUUAGGGGAUAUAAGUUGACCCAGCCAACAUUAGGAAAUACUACACAUAUUAAUUAUAGCUGAUUUGGAGACUGAAGGAAGAAGAAUAUUGAGAUUUCUAUUUUAGCCUUGUCAGUAUGUCACAGGUGAUGCUCUCCCACUGGCAGCAGUCUCUUCCAUCUUGUCAAGACGCCAGAUUCGCAUCGACGUCGAUGAAUGAGUGCUUUAGCCGGAGCAGGGAAGAAGCCUGAUCUUGGAGGCAAGAAACUGUGGUGUUAUGCUUGGCUGCAUACUAGCAGUAGCACUAGCAGGAGUAGUAGUCGACGGAGUAGGAGCAUACUAGCAGUAGCAGGAUUAGUAGGAGGGGUUGCUGUUUAGUUGAGUAAUUUUUCUACUGUCUUGCUAGUUGCUGCUUCCUCGGUGGUGCACAAGGCUAUACAUGGCAGUUUAUGUUUUUUUUUGCGGGUGAAUGGCAGUUUAUAUUUAACUGUAUUGUACAGAUUUUCCUUGAAAAAUGUAUUGUACAGAUUUUCCAUUUACACUUCUAAGGCUGCGAGCACAACAGAUCACCGUAGAUUGUGGACUAUAGUGACGUUCAUGUUGUUGUCCUAGACUAAUUCAGCAUAUCGAGUGUUGGUUGUUGUGCGAUCUUUGACUGCCUCAGUGGAAUUUUUUUUUUGAGAACAAGCGGAAUUUCUUUUGUGGUUGUGGUUGGUUUACAUCCUUGUGCACCACGGACUCAGGUCCUCAAACAUUGCUGUUCUAAUUGUUUGGGUAGUUCUUUCAAGGAAAACAUAAAAGAUUCUAAGGUAACAAGCACCCGUGUAUAAAUACAGGCUUUACAACUUCAGGCCAGUGCUCAGGGCAAUAUAUAAUACAGGGUAGAACCAUACAAGUAGAAAUUUGGGCAGUGCAUUUUCGUUCCUAGCAGUAGAAGUUUAUGUUAAAUGCCACUGUUGUUAGUCCAAGAUGAAAGCAUGUGUAGAGCCAUCAUGUGGCCAGUGUUAUUUCCUGUGCAAUACGGCAGUGCCUUUGAUGUGCACACGACUGGUUGCUGACUAAUUGAAAGGUUACGGAACGGCUUGUUACCUUUCAUGAGUCAAGGUCUCUACUUGCAUGUAGGCCCGUUGCAAGCUACUGUAGUUAAUGUUGUCACUGUACUGUAGUGUUGCAGCGUGUCUUCACCGGCAAGAAUCUACAGCAGGAGAGCUACAUUAUUAUUAAUUUGAUUAGGAAUCUCUCCUCUAGAGCUGGAGUUAAUUAGAUUACUAGAAAGAGAGUCUGUGUGAGUUUCAGGGGUAUAUAAGUUGAGCCAACAUAAGAAAAGGCUACACAUACUAUUAGUUAUAGCUGAUUUGAAGACUAAAUGGAGAAUUUAAUCUUUCUGUUUUACUCAGAGAAAUACCUUGGGAACAUACAUGUUCUGAAAAUUUGCAGGUUACUGUUUGCUUGUAAAAUAAGAGCUGGAGUUGAUUAGAUUACUGGAUAUGGAGCCUGAGUUUUAUGGGAUAUUAGUUCAGACAACGAACAUUGGGGAGGAUGGUGGCCGGCGAAGCUGCUGCUCGUGCUGAAGGAGGCCACGCAGUAGCAGGAGUAGGAGGGCGUGGAGGCAUGCCAGUUUGUAUCUGGAAACUGUAUUGUACAGAAUUUCCAUCACCACAGAAGAAGGUGAUGGAGAUUGUAUAUAGUAUUUACUUCUAUACAAUCACUUCAGAAGAAGGUGAUGGAGUACAUUUCUAAGGCUGCGAGUUCAAACGACCGAUUCCGCAAAUCAGGUAUUGUCUCUGGCCUGUGUUUGACUGCCUUUUCGGUGGGAUUUCUUUUGAAGUACACUCGGCAGCGGCUGUGCCCAACCUCUGAAGCAUCGGUUUGGUUUACAUCCCUGUGCACAGCAAACAUCGCUGUUCCAAACAAAUUAUUCUACAGAUUUUCCUUCACCGCAGAAGGAGGCCAUGGACAAUAAUAUUUACACUUCUAAUGGCUGUGAGAGCAACCGAUCACCGACGUUCUGUCUUGCUGUCCUAGACCGAUUCGGCAUAUCAAUUUUUGGUUCCUUUUUUUGAGUAACAUCAAUUUUUGGUUCCUGUGCAGUGUUUAACGGCAUAUUCAGUGGAAUUUCUUUUGUGGUCGUGGUAGAUACAUUCGGCAGUGGCCAUGCGCUCUCAAGCCAUUGGUUUCGUUUACAUCCUUGUGGAAAAAAUGAAAAAAAAAUAUUUUGGGUAAUUAUUUUGUUGUUAUAUUUUUUGGGGGUAAUUUUUCAAGGUAAAACAUAAAGGUUCGAGAUAACAAGCACCCGUAUAUAAAUUCUUGGUCAUGGUGAAAAGAUCUCAAAUAAUCUAGCUAAAAUUCCAGUAACUAUUCACAUAUUGUGCCUAUUGCCCCGAUGAAAUCGAUACUCCCCCCGGUUCCAAAAUAAGCAUCGCUAAUUUAAUAUAAAAUCAGCACAAAGUUGUACUAAAUCAACAACCCUUGUUUUGGGACGGAGGAGUAGCAUUUAGCGUUCAAAAUUAGGGAUACUCGUGACUCACCUUCGACGAGGAAGGCCGCCAUCAGGUACUGCUACGAACACGAGAAAGUCGUUUAGGAUUUUGGGAAUGUUCAGAACCUUCCCAAACCGGGUUCUCUUGUUCUUUUUUCUGCUUUCCUCCUUUUCUUUUUUCAUUUUUUUUUCUUUUUUGUUUCCAAAUUCAUGAACAUUUUCUGAAAUCUGAGAACAUUUUUUCAAAUUUGUGAACAUUAUUUGAAAUUCAAAAUUUAUUCAUCAAAUUCAAAAAACGUCCAUCAUAUUGAAAAAUGUUCAUCAAAUUCAAAAAAUGAUCAUUAAAUUUAAAUUUUGUACAUCAAAAUACAUAAAAUAAUAAUUGAAAAUUCAAAAAUGUUCAUAAAAAUACAAAAAAUGUCACAAAAAUUCAAAAAAUGUUCAUUUUUAGAAUUUAUGAACAUUUUCCUGAAUUCAUGAACAUUUUUUAAAUUCUUGAACAGGUUUUUGCAUUAGUAAACAUUUUUUCGAAAUUCUAAUUUGCUUUUUGAAAUCCCAAACUUUUUUAAAGAAGCAAAAAACAAAAACAGAAAAAAAAAGAUACGAAAAAAAUAAGGGAGACCGGCCCCGCAUCUGGGUCGGCCCAAGGUCACACAUGGGGGAGCGAGAGGGUGCGCGCUAAAUCUCAAAAAAAAGAGGGUGCGCGUUGCCCACUUUCCCACACGCUCGUCCGGCCGCAACGCCGGCGUCCGCAGGCGGCUGUAGUUCAUGCACCAAGUCGGAGCAUCAUCACUCGCGUGAGAUAUGAGACACAGGAAACGCGGCAAGCCGGAGCAGGGAUGCCGCCCAAGUUGCUACCUGCUACGGACUUGGUCAGUUUUCACUCUCGUCACUGGGGACGCCAUGGGGUUCGUCCUCGUGCUCCAGGUGUUCGAUGGAAUGUGCCUGGGCGACAAAAUGCACACAUCUCUCAUUUAUUUUUCCCAAAAAAUGGCGCGUGAAAUACAGGAUUGACACUAGGAACUGUAAGUCUAAUUGGACUCGUUUACUACCUUUUCAGGUGUCCUGGGUUGACCAAACUCUGGCCGCAAAAGAGCUGCUGGGGAUCAAGGUCUACCACAGACUCUGCCUUGAUUAACCUUAAGAAGCAGGUUCGUACAAGCUCAUACUAUGAUUUUGUUUCCUUACUUUACAAUUCAUCAUAUAUGAAAAGGAGAAAAGGUGCAUCAGUCUUAUACAAGUAGGUUCGUACAAACUCAUAUCAAUACAUAUGAUAAACAAACACACUGACACAGCCCAGGCCACACAUCAUUUACUGGUAGAACGGAAACGAUUGCAGUUCCAGCGUUUGGCCUGGAAAGCCACUGACAAAACAACAGCCACCGCAAAGCCAACUCCGAAACCGGAUCCCACAAACACAAACAACACUAUGGUUCCAACACUGUCUUGCGAAGACACCGAUGAGUUGAGGGUUCCGGUACCUGAACUGUUGCACUGUUUGGACAGUGGCUUCCCACACAGUCCUUCAUUGCCUUCGAAUGAGCUGUUGGUGAACAGUGAGAACUGCUGCCCUUCUGGUAUCAUUCCGGUCAAAUUGUUGUAGGAGAGAUUCAACACGGCCAGAUAUGUUAGGCUGGUUUGAUCCCUUGGGAUCUCCCCCGAGAGCUUGUUCCGAGAGAGGUCCAGUGACUCAAGCUGUGCCAAGUCACCAAGCUUUGAUAGGAUUCUUCCAGUGAAGGCAUUAUGUGACAUGUUCAGGCCAUGUAGAGCAAUAAGAUUCCCAAUUGAGUCUGGCAUGGGACCAUCAAAUGUGUUGUUUGAGAAAUCAAGCAUCUUGAAAGUGGUCAGGAUCUUGGUAAAUGUAAGAUCAAUCCCUUUGAAUGUGAGUCUCUCUUGGUAGUACUCCCCGGGAAAUCUUGAGUCAAAGGCCAGAGCAUUACCCUUCUCACUAGAGUUUUCUGUCAUUCUUUGUAGCAUGUCAAACCAUUUUGAACUCAAGUUCCCAGAAAAGUUAUUUGAGGCCAAAUCAAUAAUCUGCAAAGCCGAGAAGCCCUUACUACUCGCAUCACUUUCACCAGGGCCUCCUAUUGAACCAUAUAAUUGAUUUGAUCUCAAGAUGAGAAUUCGUAGAUUAGACAUCUCACCCAACCAAGAUGGAAAAGUAUCAAGAAUUUGAUUGCUACCAAUGUCAAGAACCUCUAAGUUUCUGCAGUUACAUAAUGAUCUUGGUAUCUUCCCUUCAAUUUGGUUGUUGUUCAAAUCAAUUGUCUGAAGCAUACAUCCUUCUCCAAUAUUUUCAGGUAGUAUCCCAUGCAAAUGAUUAUCUCUCAAUUUCAACAUACCUAAGCUGCUACCUUCUAUUAGAUUCUGUAGUAGAGGAACAGAGUCUGCUAAAGCAAUAGACCAAGUUGAUCCACCGUUUACGAUUUGCACAUUAUCAAGAUAGAGAUCCCUUAGAUUGCAAAAUUUGGAUACGAAUGUCUGAAAACUUGGAUCUCGGAGAUAUAGAUCAUUGUGUGCAUAACCAGGCCAGUCAGUAUGAGAGGGAAGAUCAAGUGUACGCAAAUUUUGGAGGUGACCAAUUCCAAUGGGUAUCUGACCAAACAACCUCGUAUUAGAAAAAUUGAGACUGAGGAGCUCGGUCAGCCGCUCAAACCCAAAACUAUGAAGACUGGUCAGGCCAAAGUCAUUACCAGAGAGGCUGAGAUUUGUGAGAGAGGUGAGGUUGAAUAGUGCUAGGCUGAGACCACUGGUGCUCUGCAGGUUACGAUCACUGAGGUCCAAAGUGAUCACCCGACCGGAUGCCCUGUCACAUCCAACACCCUCCCAGUGGCAACAGUCUGUGCCCUGUUGCCAUGACGAGAGGUUGGGUUUGAGAAAGGAGUGCUUCAGCUGGAGCAGAGAUGAAGCCUGAUUAGGGAGGCACUGGACUGUGGUUCUAUUGCCGCCGUUGGCAGCAAUUUUGAUGGAGCAGUAGCAUGUGAGGAGUAGCAGGGUGAAGUGAAGCCGUGGGCUCCUGAAGCUCAUCUUUCUACUGCUUGUCUACCUUAUAGCUUCAAGCUGGUGCUUGGGGCAAUAUAUAAUACAGGGUAGAUGUAGAGAUCCCAAUAGUACAUGUCGCUCAUUUAUGUUCAAUGCGGCAUUUUUCUUGAAAGGGCUAUUGUUGGUCAAUGAUGAAAGCGUGUGCAGUGUCAUUAUGUGGCCAAUGUUAUUUCCUGUGCAACACCGCAGCGCCUUUGAUGUGCACACGACUGGUUGCUGACUAAUUCAAAGUUCAAAGAACAAAUUGCUACCUCUCAUGAGACAAGGUCCAGUUCCCCGUAGGCCCGUUGCAAGCUACGGUACUUAAUGUAGUCAGUGUACUGCACGCAGGUGCUGUAGCGUGCCUCCUGUGGCAAGAAUUUACAACAGGAUAGCUACAUGUUGCUUAUUCCCUCCGUCCAAAAAUAUUUGUCAUCAAAAUGGAUAAAAAGUGAUGUAUCUAGAACUAAAAUACAUCUAGAUACAUCCCCUUUUAUUCAUUUUGAUGACAAGUAUUUCCGGACGGAGGGAGUAUUUGAUAAGGAAGCUCUCCUCAAAAGCUGGAGUUGAUUAUAUUACCUGAAAUAUAGUGUGAGUUUUACGGGGUAUAUAAGUUGAGCCAACAUUAGAAAAGGUUACUGAUGUUUCUAUUUUACUUCAGAGAAAUACCUUGGGAACGUACAUGUUCUGGAAAAUUGCAGGUUACUCUUGACUCUGUAAGAUAAGAGCUGGAGUUGAAUAGGUUACUGGAUAUGGAGUCUGAGUUUUAGGGGAUAUAAGUUGAGCCAGCCAACAUUAGGAAAGGCUACACAUAUUAAAUAUUAAUUAUAGCUGAUUUGGAAACUGAAGGAAAAAAAUAUUGAGGCAUCUAUUUUAGCCAUGUCACAGGUGACGCCCUCCCACACUGGCAGCAGUCUCUUCCAGCUUGCCAAGAUGCCAGAUUCGCAUCGAUGUCGAUAAAUGAGCGCUUUAGCUGGAGGAGGGAAGAAGCCUGAUCUUGGAGGCAAGAAACAGUGGUGUUAUGCUUGGCUGCAGUAUCCAGUAGAAGUGGCACUAGCAGGAGUAGUAGGAUCGUAGAGGCAAGAUACUAUCAACGGUUUAGGAGCAUUAGCAGGAGCAGGAUUAGUAGGACGUGGAGGGGUCACUGUUUAGUUGAGUAAUUUUUCUACUGUCUUGCUGCUUCCUCAAUGGUGCACAAGGCAUGGCAGUUUAUGUUUAACUGUAUUGUAUAGAUUUUCUUGAAAAAGGUAUUGUACAGAUUUUCCUUGAAAAAGGUAUUGUACAGAUUUUCCAUCACCACAGAAGAAGGUGAUGGAGAAUGUAUUUACACUUCUAAGGCUGCAAGUGCAACAGAUCACGGUAGAUUGCGGACUAUAGUGACGUUCGUGUUGCUGUCCUAGAUAGAUUCAGCAUAUCAAGUGUUGGUUGCUGUGUGGUGUUUUACUGCCUCAGUGGAUUUUUUAUAGAAGUGGAAUUUCUUUUGUGGUUGUGGUUGGCGUACAUCCUUGUGCACUGCGGACUCAGGUCCACGAACAUUGCUGUUCUAAUUUUUGGGGGUAGUUCUUUCAAGGAAAACAUAAAAGGUUAAGAUAACAAGCACCCAUGUAUAUAUGUCAGGUGUGCUUGUGUCUCCACUGAGAGUGAUGUUAUCAGAUGGGGUUUGGGUCCUAAGCAUGUAUAUACGACCAAAUCCAUGUAUACAUAUCUUGAAAGAAACAUCUCAGGUUGCAACUACCGGUGGAUCUGGAAAGCCCGUAUUCCUUUGAAAAUUUAGAUUUCCAUGUGGCAAUUGUCGCAGGAUGCGGUGCUAACUAGGGACAUGAUGAAACAUCGUGGGUGGAAAGGGGAACCAAAGUGCUCGUUCUGCGGGGAAAGGGAGACUUCCCAACACCUAUUUUUCACGUGCCCUGUUGCGAGAGUUACCUGGAGAGUGGUGGGGUGCAUGCUGGGCACUGAACAGUGCCCUAACAAUUUGUGGCAGGCUUAUGUUUGGUGUCAUGUGUUUUUACCGGGGGAGAUGUCUUUUAUACGGCUGGCAUUGCGGCCAUUUGCUGGGCUAUCUGGACCCGUCGUAACAGAGUUAUUUUUGAACAUAUUCCUCUCAAAUCUCCGUUUGAAUGCAUCUUCUCUGCUUGUGCGCUGUUGUGUUACUGGGCAGGUCUGAUGAAGCAAGAGGACGCGAUGACACUGAGAACUGGAGGGGAAAAGCUGAAAGAGAAUACUUCUCGUCUGAUGAGGAUCUGCGCGACGGCUUAUCAAGAAGAAGGAGCUCGUUGAGGAGGGGGUGAUCGUGAUCUUGUCUUUUACUUUGCUGGAAUAGUUGCCUCCUGCGUGAGGUUGGUUCGGGCCUGUUGCUCUGGUUGGAGCCUAUCGUUUGUUUUGGUCUGGUUGUAGACGGUGUUUGAUCUGGUUAGGGCUUGGAUUAUAUAGUGUCGUCGGGUUUUCGCCCCACAGUGAGUAAUCUCGAUGACGAGUGCUCAUGGUGGGUUUUCCGGCGAUGCUUGAACCCGCUUUCCUCUUUCCCGCCUUAUUUUCUGGACAAUGGUUGUAUUUCCGUUAUGUCGCAGUAAUGGAAAGGGGUAAUGCCUGGUUAAAAAAAAAAGCACCCAUGUAUAAACACAUGCUUUACAACUUCAAGCUAGUGCUCAAGGAAUAUAUAUUACAGGGUAGAAU